rnacentral:lncRNA from 1 species
CUCACAGUGUAGUAUAAUGGAUUUGUGAUUCAGCACAGGAGACUUGAAAGACCUGGGAAGGCAUCUUGAAAAAUAUGAAACCUGAGUUAGUGUGUUCUGGUAGAGAUUUUUCAUGAAGAAAUGUAAACUAGCUGAUAAAACUGCUAUUUUCCUGAACCAGGUGGAUCCUGGUUGUUUUCCUGUGGUCACCAGCACAACUGAGGGACCCAUCUGAGUGACAGGUACUUACAUUCUUCUGGAAUUUUUAAUCACAGCUUAACACUUGUCAGCUUCAAAGGAUACACUGUAGGGAAAUUAGUGUCACAUCAUGUGAUGCAGCAGUUGUAGGGCUGCAAAGAAAACAGAUUGUUUGAUUAUUUUUUUCUUCCACAGCUAAGGUUAAGUGUCGGGACAGCUGCGAGUCGAGCCUUCAAGGCACGCUGCUUUAUCUGAUUGGUCUCAGUCUUGAUCUG